rnacentral:rRNA from 1 species
UACGUAGGGUGCGAGCGUUGCCCGGAUUUAUUGGGCGUAAAGAGCGUGUAGGCGGCUUUACAGGUCCGUUGUGAAAACUCGAGGCUCAACCUCGAGACGCCGGUGGAAACCGUAAGGCUAGAGUCCGGAAGAGGAGAGUGGAAUUCCUGGUGUAGCGGUGAAAUGCGCAGAUAUCAGGAGGAACACCCGUGGCGAAAGCGGCUCUCUGGGACGGUACUGACGCUGAGACGCGAAAGCGUGGGGAGCAAACGGG